rnacentral:rRNA from 1 species
CCCUUAGAUGUUCUGGGCCGCACGCGCGCUACACUGACCAGUGCAACAAGCAUCCGUCCUUGGCCGACAGGCCCGGGCAAUCUUUGAACGCUGGUCGUGAUGGGGAUAGACUUUUGCAAUUUUUGGUCUUCAACGAGGAAUUCCUAGUAAACGCAAGUCAUCAACUUGCAUUGAUUACGUCCCUGCCCUUUGUACACACCGCCCGUCGCACCUACCGAUUGAAUGGUCCGGUGAAGCCUCCGGAUUGGCGCGCACCUCGGUGCCGCCGAGAAGUUGACUAAACCUUACCAUUUAGAGGAAGGUGAAGUCGUAACA